rnacentral:rRNA from 1 species
AGUGAACGCUGGCGGUAGGCCUAACACAUGCAAGUCGAACGGCAGCACAGUAAGAGCUUGCUCUUACGGGUGGCGAGUGGCGGACGGGUGAGGAAUACAUCGGACUCUACUUUUUCGUGGGGGAUAACGUAGGGAAACUUACGCUAAUACCGCAUACGACCUACGGGUGAAAGCAGGGGAUCUUCGGACCUUGCGCGGUUGAAUGAGCCGAUGUCGGAUUAGCUAGUUGGCGGGGUAAAGGCCCACCAAGGCGACGAUCCGUAGCUGGUCUGAGAGGAUGAUCAGCCACACUGGAACUGAGACACGGUCCAGACUCCUACGGGAGGCAGCAGUGGGGAAUAUUGGACAAUGGGCGCAAGCCUGAUCCAGCCAUACCGCGUGGGUGAAGAAGGCCUUCGGGUUGUAAAGCCCUUUUGUUGGGAAAGAAAAGCAGCAGGUUAAUACCCCGCUGUUCUGACGGUACCCAAAGAAUAAGCACCGGCUAACUUCGUG